UUUGGGCUAUCAGCGAAUAUUGUACAUCAUCAUCAUAACCUUUUUUUACUAUUUCGUUUUACAUCAGUUUUAUACCUUCAAAUAGACAUUUGUUUCCGUUCUUCCUAAUAUCUAUAGAAUCCAAGGUGUCACUGAUCUGAUUUCUUUUAGGACAUCGAUUUGUUUUGACAUUUCUGUAAGUGAAACAUAUUCUCGUGUAUAGAACUAUAGAAACCUAUAGCCGGUAACUGAACAUGCUGAAGUGCCCACACUUGUUGAGCCAUAGAACAUUAAAAGUGUUUUCUUGACCUUCCGUUUUGUUUUUUUUGUGUGCACAUUACAAGGGAAGUGGACAAAGAUAUCAUAAGAAGAUAGCGUUUUGGAUGUGAAUGCUAUAAUUGAUACAACAUUCAGUUUAAGAUAGCUUUUCAAAAUACCCAUGCUAUCUUUGUAUUUUCGGAUUCUAAAAACUUUGAUUUAGAUAGCAUCUAUUAUCUUCCCCGGAGUAUCUUCUCUCUACAUAUUCAUGUUAUCUUUCAGAGUUCCAAGCAGGCUAAGAUUAAACUCUUCAUCGUUCUAUUUCUCCUUCUUUCAAUACAAAACCCUAAUCUCAAUCUCACCAUCUCUCCUUCUAUCCGCGUCUCAUAUCCUCUCCUUUUCUUUUUCUCAAAUCAAUUGAAAAUCCAAAGGUUCGUACUAUAACCCGAAUUUCACUUCUCUCUACACUCUUUACUCAAAUGGUGUCCGCCACUCUAUCCAGAACCAGCCUUGAACAUCGCCGAGAAAGGCUUCCCAAUCUCUGCCUAUAACCGAACAACAUCCAAAGUCGACGAAACCCUAGAACGCGCCGCCGUCGAAGGAAACCUCCCGGUCUCCGGCCAAUACUCCACACGCGACUUCGUCUUCUCGCUCCGAGUUCAUUAGCAGAUCUAAAGUUUCCAGAUUGUCCUUUUAUGAAGGGUCGUGGUGUGGGUGCUUCUGGAGUGGGCAGAACAAGAUUCCUAUUGCUGCAGCAUCGAAAGGCAACUGCGAAGGGGCCCUGCCAAAACGUUGGCAACGCUUCAAAAACAAGAUGGAGAUGAUUUCAAGGAGAGUGUUGAAGGAGACUGACUUUAGCUGUUCUGAUGGCAUAGCCCAAAACAAGGCAA